CGAAACCGGAGCCAGCCUCAUGAUGGUGCCUGGGGUGAGGGCCAGAACAUGCUGAUGGUCCUGAAAAAAGAUGCCAUGAGCUUGCUGAAUCCCCUGGACCACAGUCUGAUCCAUUGUCAGCCUCUGGUUCACAUCCGUGUAUGGGGUGUGGGCAGCUCCAAGGGCCGAUCCUCUGAUGUGGACCCAGCACGGCCUUCCCUGCCUGGUUCAUCCCUGGUUGGGGUGGGUGGGCCCAACCCCAGCUCAGCAGGGACAGAUAGGGGAGAGUCUGAGAGACUGGGCUGAUUUUCUCCUGUGCUCCCACAUGCUUCUGGAACAGUGACAGGUAUGUGAUAACUGGGUUCUCUAAGCCCUAUCCCUGCCUCUCCCAUUCCAACGGUGCCAUAUCUUAAACCUAACUGGUGAAGCCUCUCACAGGCACUUAGAAGCCUCUGCCCCUAACAGCUUUGUCUCCGCCCCUGCCAGGGACUUUGCUUUUGUUGCGGGUGACAAAGACAGCUGUAUGCUCAAAUGUCAUGUGUUUCGCUGUGAUGUGCCCGCAAAAGCCAUAGCAAGUGCUCUACAGGGGCUCUGUGCACAGAUCUUGUCAGAGAGGGUAGGACUCAGUGGAGAAGCUGCUUGUUGUUCCCCAGAUCCUAUUUCCCCUGAAGACUUCCCAAGGCAAGUGGAAUUGCUGGAUGCAGUGAGCCAGGCUGCUCAGAAGUAUGAGGCACUGUACAUGGG
rnacentral:lncRNA from 1 species